GGUUACGUCAGUCAUUUUGAUUGCAUUCUUCAUGAGGUGUAAAUAUUGACUUCCUCUUGUUUCAGGGUGGGUGUGGACCCGGAUCAGGACCAGCAGCCGUGCACAGACAGCUUCCAGGUCCUGCAGGGGGAGGGGCCUCAGGCUGAAGGACAGAGUAAAACCAAACAGGAGAGCGCCUGGCUCUUCAGACUGUGGUACACCUUCGAUCACAAUUACCUGAAGCCCAUCCUGACGCACAGCGGCCCCCCCCCUCACCUCCACGCUGCCCGCAUACUGCAGCCCGCUGGCGAGCUGUCUGACCAGCCAGCAGGCGUACGAGAACCAGCUGAGGGACGACCCUGACUUUAUGCGUGGCGACGGCGGCGGCGACCUUUCCUUCACGUUUGGAGACACCACCAUCACGGCCAAUGGGGCGUCUGGCAGUGGGGGGGCGGGUGGAGGAGGGGGGGAAACAGCCGGAGCGUCGGGCUGGAGCAUGAACGGCAGGAGGAGCGGCAGUACCUCGGAGGAGGCGCUGGAGCGCGAGCUGGACUCCCGUGAACAAGAACUGCUGAGCCGGGGAACUCGACUUGUUUUCCCCAUCGAGGAUCACAUCUGACCGCCAUGUUUGUAGUCCUUCAGAGAUGAGAGGUAUUAUGGGAGGAUAAGACGGGAGAGUGCCCCGGGAGCAGAGCUCGAGAAGAUAUUCAUGCUCCAGGAGACGUGCAUCCUCUCCAUCCACCUUCACUGAUUGUUUCCUUGCAUUAUCAGAAGGACAACAAAUGUCACCUGCCAGAUUCAGGCUGUUUUUGAACAUGUGACACUGUGCGUGCAGCCGAAAAAGAAGAAGACUCAUCCUGAGAUCCGACCAAAAUGCUUCUUCGCCAUCACGCCCCAUCUACGCCCUGAACCCCAAACUUUGAUUUUAUAAUUCCUCUUUGUACCAUUCAUCCGAAGCUGCUGACAGUGUUUGGUCUGUUUGUGAGGAUGCCCUUUUUUGCUUCACAAACACGCUCUUGUGUGGAGGGGAUUGUGGGGACCGUGAAUGUGUUCGGCCAACACCACUCAUCAUGGGUGAAUCAGCGCGGGUGGAGAAUGUAAAUAGCUACAAUGCAGAGCUUUGUUCCCGCUUCUUGUCAGUGCAUUUCGUCCCAUGACUGUUACAAAAUGCAUCUGUUGUGUCCAAGUGUCUGAGCUGGAUCUUUGUCUCUGCCAAGGCACAGUUUGUCCAUUCGUCUGCAGAACAACGACUGGCCCGAUUUUCAUGAAACUUGGUGGAAGGUUGCAACACGAGACAGAGAAGAAAACAUUUAAAUUAUGAUUUAAUCUGUAUAAUGGGGUUGAAACACAAACUAAGAUAAACUUCCAUUAGCAAUGGAAGAUCAAGCAUUAAUGCGGCUUUCAUGUAGAACGGUGAAAGUCAGGGGGCAUUUUGGUACGCAUUUGAUAUCUUACCCGAUUCCUCUGCUCCCCACUGUUAUGAAUAAAUACUGGAAACACUAAAAUAGGCCUUCAAUACAUCUUCUUUUUGGAGUCAAUGUUCUUUCCCCAUUUCGAUUUGAAACUCAUGCACUCUGCCUUGGUGGGGGUCUGCAUCUUCUAGCUUCCUAUUAGCAUGUUGCACAGGCUGAGCAUGAAGUUAGCAUAACAAGGGCUCCCUCCACAAAAACCAAAAAGGAUUUGGAUUAUUGCAGAAAAUAAUCUCGGUUUCAAAAUCCCAUUUAUGAUAUUUACACAUUUUGCUCAGCAGGAUAAUCUCCCCGUAUUAACACCACUUAAUGAGCAUUCAAGUAAAAAGCUAACGUUAGGCUAUAAAGGUAAAACAGCGUGGUCACAUAACUUCACGCCACCACCGCUAAGCUAAAGGCGGCUAAUGUUGGGUGUGAUGACGUUAAAAUCUCUUCAGCUUGUGUUAACCACAGACCUUAUUUCAGGUUAACAACCAAAAUAACAUAAAAAAUAACCCUCGACUUCGAGACUAGGAUACCGAAAAUGCUAGAAUGAAAAGAAAUGUCUGAUUUAUUUCUGCACCACUCAAUGAAGGCAAAUUCAACAUUAUAAAAGUAAAGAGCGUAGACCUCCUAAGUACAUCUAUCUCACAUUUACUUGCUUCACCUUCACACUAAAUUUCAUGAAGAGUGGGUUAGUCGUUUUUACGUAAUCCUGAACACAGUUAAACAAAAAGUAAGCUUCUCGGCGUAGUUGUUUUUUUUCAUGCAUCAAUUUGUGUUUGACUUUAACUAACAAUCAUUUUCAUUAUCAAUUAAUCUGUUGAUGAUUUUUCAAAUGUUAUGGAUUUGUUGUUUAGUUCAUGAAUGAGAGAAAAUAGUAAAACAUCUCCAUCACCAUUUAUAAGAACUUGUUCAAAUCGCUUGUUUUGUUCAGAUGUCUUUCAUCAAAUUCUCCAUCAAUAAGAGUUCAACUUUAAAUGUAACUGUUCUAACUUUCUGAAACCUAUAAUCCCAAAUAAAGAAGAGCAGCCACUUUUAACAAAUACUGACCAUGGUGCCAAGUGCUCGAAAACAACCUUAUAAUCAGCGUUAUUUACGUUAUUUCCCCCAUAUAGAAAUACACGGUAAUAAACUCUGAUUACAUUAAACCUGAUUCCCCAUUUAUCUGAUAAUGCACAUAAUAAGUAGAAACACAGGUUUUCCUGUUAAGCGCUCUUAUUUAUUAUGAAAGGAAGCAUCUUGAUUCUUGUUUGAAUUAAGUUACAAUAUUCCUCCCACAGCUAAUCUGAGCAGUUUUUAAUGAGACGUUAGAGAGCAACUUGUGCAUGAGUCUCUGUAUUCAUUGACAUUUUCUCACAACUGAUCAAUAUGGUUUGCAUCUUCACUCCAUGUGAAUUAUUAAUUAUUUAUACUGCAUAGAUAAAGCUAAUAUGACCUUCUGAUUACACAGGGUUUCUGCAGGUUUCUAAAUGUUUUGGGGUCAAACGGGCUCAAGGAAAAUGAGUAUGAAUGAAAAUAUGUCCUAGACUAACUUACGUACAUGCAUAUAUUAAAAUCUGUCAAUAAAACUAUAUUAAUUGA